CAGGUACAACCCCACAUCGCGCCUUCUCCGUAAUGCAUGCCAAGUUGAGGCGUGUCCUCAUUUCCUGAAGCCCAACGUGCGCCUCUCUUGUCACCUGCUCCCCGUGAAGCGCAGCCCCUCCUUCCCCCACACCCUACACCUGGUUGUGGGAGGAGAUUCCAGGGGGGAGAGGGAAGAGUUGGUGGAGAAGGUGAGGCUGGGGAGCGGAGGAGGCACCCACGGCCGCCCACCCCCACCUGCCCUGCCUCCCACCCCCGCCUACCUCUCCGUCCUCCGCACCCACGUCGACACACUGUGUGACCUGUACACUGCGUGUACUGUGUAACCUGUAUACAGUACGUUCUCAUUAAGUUCCUGCCCCCCUCCAUCGCGGCUGUGACGGCGGGUCAUUAAGUUAGCUCCUCCCACUCGCCGCAGUAAAGGCGGUUCAUCAAGUUAGCUCCUCCCACUAGCCGCUGUGAAGGCAGUUUAUCAAGUUAGCUCUUAGCUCCUCCCACUCGCCGCUGUGAAGGCGGUUUAUCAAGUUAGCU
rnacentral:lncRNA from 1 species